rnacentral:rRNA from 1 species
UACGUAGGGUGCGAGCGUUAAUCGGAAUUACUGGGCGUAAAGCGUGCGCAGGCGGUUUUGUAAGUCAGAUGUGAAAUCCCCGGGCUCAACCUGGGAACUGCGUUUGAAACUACAAGGCUAGAGUGUAGCAGAGGGGGGGUGGAAUUCCACGUGUAGCAGUGAAAUGCGUAGAUAUCUGGAGGAACACCGGUGGCGAAGGCGGCAUCCUGGACCAACACUGACGCUGAGGAGCGAAAGCCAGGGGAGCAAAGCGGG